GACGAACGCUGGCGGCGUGCUUAACACAUGCAAGUCGAGCGAUGAAGCUCCUUCGGGAGUGGAUUAGCGGCGGACGGGUGAGUAACACGUGGGUAACCUGCCUCAUAGAGGGGAAUAGCCUUCCGAAAGGAAGAUUAAUACCGCAUAAGAUUGUAGCUUCGCAUGAAGCAGCAAUUAAAGGAGCAAUCCGCUAUGUGAUGGACCCGCGUCGCAUUAGCUAGUUGGUGAGGUAACGGCUCACCAAGGCGACGAUGCGUAGCCGACCUGAGAGGGUGAUCGGCCACAUUGGGACUGAGACACGGCCCAGACUCCUACGGGAGGCAGCAGUGGGGAAUAUUGCACAAUGGGGGAAACCCUGAUGCAGCAACGCCGCGUGAGUGAUGACGGUCUUCGGAUUGUAAAACUCUGUCUUCAGGGACGAUAAUGACGGUACCUGAGGAGGAAGCCACGGCUAACUACGUGCCAGCCGCCGCAGUAA
rnacentral:rRNA from 1 species